AGUUUGAUCAUGGCUCAGAGCGAACGCUGGCGGCGUGCUUAACACAUGCAAGUCGAGUGCGCGUCCGUAGCAAUACGGAUGGCGCACGGCGCACGGGUGCGUAACACGUGGGCAAUCUGCCCUCGGAUGGGGGAUAACCCCGCGAAAGCGGGGCUAAUACCGCAUGACAUUCCGACGACUCCGGUCGUUGGAUUCAAAGGCCGCAAGGCCGUCUGAGGAGGAGCCCGCGCCCGAUUAGCUUGUUGGCGAGGUAACGGCUCACCAAGGCAAUGAUCGGUAGCCGGUCUGAGAGGAUGGCCGGCCACACUGGAACUGAGACACGGUCCAGACUCCUACGGGAGGCAGCAGUGGGGAAUAUUGCGCAAUGGGCGAAAGCCUGACGCAGCGACGCCGCGUGGGGGAUGAAGCUUCUCGGAGUGUAAACCCCUUUCGACCCGGACGAAUGACCCGCAAGGGUUUGACGGUACGGGUAUAAGAAGCCCCGGCUAACUACGUGCCAGCAGCCGCGGUAAUACGUAGGGGGCCAGCGUUGCUCGGAAUUACUGGGCGUAAAGGGUUCGUAGGCGGCGCGGCAAGUCGGGAGUGAAAUCUCUGGGCUUAACUCAGAGGCUGCUUUCGAAACUGCCGUGCUCGAGUGCGAGAGAGGCCAGUGGAAUUGCAGGUGUAGCGGUGAAAUGCGUAGAUAUCUGCAGGAACACCCGUGGCGAAGGCGGCUGGCUGGAUCGCAACUGACGCUGAGGAACGAAAGCUAGGGGAGCAAACAGGAUUAGAUACCCUGGUAGUCCUAGCCCUAAACCAUCAGACUUGGGGUGGCCCGCGUAGGCGGGUCGUCCCGUAGCUAACGCGUUAAGUCCUGCGCCUGGGGAGUACGGUCGCAAGACUGAAACUCGAAGAAUUGACGGGGCCCGCACAAGCGGUGGAACACGUGUUCAAUUCGACGCAACGCGAAGAACCUUACCUG
rnacentral:rRNA from 1 species